rnacentral:snRNA from 1 species
UUGCAGACGACUUAAAUA